rnacentral:tRNA from 10 species
GCGGAGAUGGCGGAACGGUAACGCGCUCGUCUCGAAAACGAGUGCCAGUGAUGGUAUGUAGGUUCGAAUCCUACUCUUCGCA